UGUUGUGUACAUAUAUGCUCUGUCUUUGCACAGUCAACAUGAUAGAAACUAUUAGAGAACUCAUUGAUAUUGUUAAUAAACUAUUUCCAGGCAUUGGGACAAUUGAAAUGUCAACAAAUUAGACUUUCCUGGUGUGUUUGUACCUGCAGAGGUCCUGGUACCACAGACUUGCCUCUUUCUCCUUCACCACCGCCGCCGUCGUCGUCGUCGCUCCGGAGCGGAACAGCAAACAUCCCGCACAAGCCACCAAGCAAAGCAGCCGCCCGAGAGGCGAGCCACGCCGGCCGUGCUUCGGUAAAAUCAUGCUCGAGCAGGCUGACGGUUCAGCAGGACGACAUGAUCAGCGCGCGACGAGAAGAGGAGAAUCGCUCGGAAGGAAGUGAAUGCACCACAUGAUCGCAACGUCACAUGACUGGCGUGUUGCUCGGGCGCGCGGCCUUCAUGGAACCUGGGACAUUCGUGCACGGCCUCUUCGUGAAGCCAACACAUACUGCUGUAGUAUUGGAAAGGGGGGAAACAUUUCUCAACAGAUAACGUGGGGGAAAAAAUCUGAUCAAAACAUGUAAAUUAACAAUUAACAAUAAAUUAACCACCCGGCUAGCUUGAUCACUGUCAUUUAGCAAGUACAAUUGUACACAGUAGGCAACAUAUUUGCGCCUUUGCUCCCUGACGUCAAAAAUAAAUGCACAUUUUUUAAAUUGUGUUCAAGUGGACCUUAACGGAGAGUUUGCGAUUAAAAAAAUAAAAUCCAUUUUUGUAUUUUUUUAACUGUCAGUAUGAACUGACAAGUACAUAAAGAAAAUGAUCUUUUAAAAAAAAGCCUUCUGUGGGCCCCACUUAUACCGCUAUUUUUAUUUUUAAGAAGCCACCGCGCCCGAGGAAAAACAACCAAUCAGUGAUAAAAGGUGUGACUGACGACGUAUCAAAAUCUUUCUCGUACACUUUGUGAUGAUGUUGCCACCCGUUACUUUGGGCUUGAGGAGCUUUGCUUCAAACUGUGGUGGAAUGUCAACCUCCAGUUGAAAAGAAGGAAUGGCAUAUGUGCACCAGCACCCAGAAGCACUUCCAGUUUAACCGGUUAUCGGCAAAUUAGUUUCUGGUUAGGAGCCAUUCAAAAUGAACGGAGAGAAAAAUCUAAUUUAAAGUGCUUUAUCCGACAGAAAAAUGAGUAAAUAUAAUGUGAAGGAUACUUUUAAGUUCCAUAAAAUGAUGGGUGGCUCAAAUGAGCUUUGCUGAGUGCCACUUUGAACCUAUUAUAGCGAAAAUUCGCUUCCUUUUCCCAAAAUUGUGUAGUUAAUCUCUCCAAUUUGAGUGCCGAGAACGGGCCUUGUCUUAUAGCGCCCCCUGUUGGAGGAAAACUGUCCCAACUGACUCAGCUGCCCCAACGUGACCUAAUUUCUUUUUUUCCCCCUCCAGUGAAUCACUGUGACGUGUUUGCACACGUCUACCCUUUCAGUCUCGCAAGGGAAAAUAUAAGCUUGAGACCCAAAACUGCAAGGAGGCCGGAGAAUGGAAUGAAUCGAACAGAUGGACUCCAACGCUAUUCCAGCAACGCAAGUCCGUCCAGACGAGUGCUGGUCACUCGUCACUGUCAGGGGAAGUAUAUACAACUGUACAAACAAUUACAAACAAUGCAACUGGUCGCCGGUCAUUUGCAGGCCAAGUCAAGACAGUUCAUGAUGAUGAUAGGGCACACGUUGUGCAGAGAACGUGCAAACGUCACACAGGGAGGCCGGAGCUGUACGUACAUGUACAUAAUAAAAAUAUAUAUUUAAAAAAAAAAAAAAAGCUAGCAUCAGAUCAGACGAGGGCAGCAUACCUCAAUUUCUGUCACAACUGUCAGUUUCAGAUCUGCUGCUACACUGACUCAUUAGUUAACGUUAGAGCGUAGGAGUUUGUUUGCACAAUUUUGUCUCUAUUUGCGCCGAAGAAAGAUUCGUAAUUCGUGUACACUUGUCAUCAUACAUUUAAAAAUAUUUAUGGAUAUGUAUACAGAGACAUGCCUUCACUCCGGCGAGGCAUGAUGAUACCAGAAGGUGCAGGCAACGACUCGUAUGCUGAAAAACAACUCCAAAUAGUUUUGUGCAGCGUUGGUGUGCGCGUGAUAAAUGAUUGCCUCGUAAAGCCCAUUUAAACCUACCGAAUUUGUAGUCUUUCAUCUUUUCGAAUGGCAAAUGCAAAUAUCCUGGUGGUAGAGGUGCACAAACAAGUCUUGAAUUUACUUGAAAGCCUGGGAAAAAAACAACGUUGUUUUGAAUUUGCAAGUGAGCAGAAAUUUUGCAUGAAGUGCUGAACUCCAGAGGAAAACCAUGAGACCGACUGCAUGUAGAAAUGUUUAAAUUUCAACUUAAGACAAUUUAUACACUUUGGCAUUUGGUUAAAUCACACCUAGUAAGCAAUGAGUGGGGAUUUUGGCCUGUUUUACUGUCGCUUCACCUCUGUCCUUCCCCCUUCUCCUGUGGUGGUGGCAACGAUCGACGUGAGGCUGUUGCUGUAAGGAUUCUGCGUCGACCGACGGCAUGUGAGGAGGACCGCGUCCCUGUUUUUGGUUUUGUUUUUUUCAAGCAGAGGGGGAUCAUCGCCUGAACACACAAAUCAGAUUUUAGUGGAACAAAAUCUGAGAUUGGUCUCAGAGACUUACCUGAGUGACAUACCUCGGUGUGAAGGGCAGGAAGUAUUCAAAGACAAAAAAAAAAAGCAAAGACAAAAUCUGCUUUUAGUAAUGUUUGCUUUUUCUCAAGUGAACAGGAAGAAAAAAAAAUAGAUUGAAA